rnacentral:rRNA from 1 species
GACGAACGCUGGCGGCGUGCCUAAUACAUGCAAGUAGAACGCUGAAGAGAGGAGCUUGCUCUUCUUGGAUGAGUUGCGAACGGGUGAGUAACGCGUAGGUAACCUGCCUGGUAGCGGGGGAUAACUAUUGGAAACGAUAGCUAAUACCGCAUAAAAUUGCUUAUCGCAUGAUAAUUAAUUGAAAGAUGCAAUUGCAUCACUACCAGAUGGACCUGCGUUGUAUUAGCUAGUUGGUGAGGUAACGGCUCACCAAGGCGACGAUACAUAGCCGACCUGAGAGGGUGAUCGGCCACACUGGGACUGAGACACGGCCCAGACUCCUACGGGAGGCAGCAGUAGGGAAUCUUCGGCAAUGGGGGGAACCCUGACCGAGCAACGCCGCGUGAGUGAAGAAGGUUUUCGGAUCGUAAAGCUCUGUUGUAAGAGAAGAACGGGUGUGAGAGUGGAAAGUUCACACUGUGACGGUAUCUUACCAAAAGGCGG